CCUACGGGAGGCAGCAGUAGGGAAUCUUUCACAAUGGGCGAAAGCCUGAUGGAGCAACGCCGCGUGCAGGAUGAAGGCCUUCGGGUUGUAAACUUCUUUUAUAAGCGAGAAAUAUGAUGGUAACUUAUGAAUACUGAUCGGCUAACUACGUGCCAGCAGCCGCGGUCAUACGUAGGAUACGAGCAUUAUCCGGAGUGACUGGGUGUAAAGAGUUGCGUAGGUUGCAUAAUAAGUAGCUAGUGAAAUCUGGUGGCUCAACCAUUCAGACUAUUAGCUAAACUGUUAAGCUCGAGACCGUUAGGGGUAACUGGAAUUUCUAGUGUAGGAGUGAAAUCCGUAGAUAUUAGAAGGAACACCAAUAGCGUAGGCAGGUUGCUGGGACGGGUCUGACACUAAGGCACGAAAGCGUAGGGAGCAAACGGGAUUAGAUACCCUGGUAGUC
rnacentral:rRNA from 1 species